UUCCAGCUUUAGUAGGCUCUGACCAUCAUAGAGAAGACCCUUCACUCUCUCCUCUCAACAGGGAAGACCCGUCACUCUCUCCUCUCAACAGGGAAGAUCCUUCACUCUCUCCUCUCAACAGGGAAGACCCUUCACUCUCUCCUCUCAACAGGGAAGACCCUUCACUCACCUCUCAACAGGGAAGACCCUUCACUCUCUCCUCUCAACAGAGAAGACCCGUCACUCUCUCCUCUCAACAGGGAAGACCCUUCACCUCAACUCAAAAUUCACUUGUCUGACUCUCUAGAGCAUUUCCCCUGGACAGCCAUGAAGAUGACAAUAAAGCAGACCUUAACUUUGGCCAUUUUGCUUUUUCAACUGACCAUCUCGGUUGAAGGAGGGGGGCCUGGGUCUGUGCCGGUUCAACAGUAUAAUUUUGGGGAUAUCAUCAAAUUUGAUCGAACUGGGUUCAACCACUAUGCAAUUUGGGUGGGUGAUGAAGUGUUUGGCGAUCCCAACAUAAGAAAAAAUGGACAGAAUAUUUUUCACUUCCCAGGUGAAGUAAUCUCCACAGUUACAAAAUGUGCCUUUGAUUCACUGGAUGCGGUUAAAGGCAGUAGUACCCCUGUGAAGGCCAAUUAUCUAGAUGGAAAAGACCAUUUUAUUAUCAGAACACGUAACGAGAUGAUUCAAGAUAUUCUGACCCUGAAUAACGAUUGUGGGAAAUACUUUGUUAUCGACAACAAUUGUGAGCAUAUUGCCACAACUAUUCGCUACGGUGAGGCUGUCUGCUUGCAGCAAGGUUCCAAUCUACUUACUGAAACUGUGGCGAGAUUCUGCUGUGCUACCAAUAGAGUUGCUGAAACACUCAAGAAGAAUCAGAAGAGGGGGCGUGGCAGAAGAGGUCUUGGUCUCCUAUAGGAUGAAACCAGUGCCAACCAGGGUGCACCAGCUGCUUGAGUUCUAAACCUUUCAGAUGUUCUCUCUCUCUUCCAUCCUCUCUGUCUCUGUAUGAAGUGAGGUCUAAACCUCUCAGAUGUUCUCUCUCUCUCUUCCAUCUUCUCUGUCUCUGUAUGAGGUGAGCUCUAAACCUCUCAGAUGUUCUCUCUCUAUUCCAUCCUCUCUGUCUCUGUAUGAAGUGAGGUCUAAACCUCUCAGAUGUUCUCUCUCUCUUCCAUCUUCUCUGUCUCUGUAUGAAGUGAGGUCUAAACCUCUCAGAUGUUCUCUCUCUCUCUUCCAUCCUCUCUGUCUCUGUAUGAAGUGAGUUCUAAACCUCUCAGAUGUUCUCUCUCUAUUACAUCCUCUCUGUCUCUGUAUGUAGUGAGGUCUAAACCUCUCAGAUGUUCUCUCUCUCUAUUCCAUCCUCUCUGUCUCUGUAUGAAGUGAGGUCUAAACCUCUCAGAUGUUCUCUCUCUCUUCCAUCCUCUCUGUCUCUGUAUGAAGUGAGGUCUAAACCUCUCAGAUGUUCUCUCUCUCUUCCAUCCUCUCUGUCUCUGUAUGAAGUGAGGUCUAAACCUCUCAGAUGUUCUCUCUCUCUUCCAUCCUCUCUGUCUCUGUAUGUAGUGAGGUCUAAACCUCUCAGAUGUUCUCUCUCUCUCUUCCAUCCUCUCUGUCUCUGUAUGUAGUGAGGUCUAAACCUCUCAGAUGUUCUCUCUCUCUAUUCCAUCCUCUCUGUCUCUGUAUGAAGUGAGGUCUAAACCUCUCAGAUGUUCUCUCUCUCUCUUCCAUCCUCUCUGUCUCUGUAUGAAGUGAGUUCUAAACCUCUCAGAUGUUCUCUCUCUCUUCCAUCCUCUCUGUCUCUGUAUGAAGUGAGGUCUUAAUAAUAAUAAAACAUGAGCAAGAA